CUAGUUGGACUUUUGUCCAAACAAAAAUCAGGACCAAACAAUGAGGACACUACCAACAAUGUCAAUAUAAAGCAACAGGCAGCAUAUUUGCAUCAACUGGUCUCCACAAGUCAAUCCUACCAAGAAGUUCCUUCACAAUCAUUAGCUACUGGGAAUAGUGAGUUAGGUCGUUUGUGGGAUUCUCAAAAUGAAAAUGAGAAUGAAUCAGAAGAGGAAGGAGAAUAUCAUUCUGAGGAAGAUCAUAUAUAUACAGAUAAUAUUCGAUCAUGUGGAGAAGAAAUAGAUGAUGUAGUACAAGUUGUAGCUGAAGAUGAUCAGAAUUCUGUAGAGAAAUCAGUGCAAAAACAGGUGGAAAUGGAAGAAAGUCAUGUCAUGGAUCCAAAUCAGAAACCUAGCCCAGACCCUCCAGAUAAACCAUUUCCUAAAAUAAUUACAACUACACCAGAAAACAACCUCAACAUCAAUCCCAUUAUGCCAAAACUAGUUACACCUACCUCUACCCUACAAGCCAAAAAGGUUACCAACAACAACAACAACCACCUAAUAUAAUCUUACUUAGUGGGGUCUGGGGAGGGUAGUAUGUACGCA
rnacentral:lncRNA from 1 species